rnacentral:rRNA from 1 species
AAUGAACGUUGGCGGCGUGGAUUAGGCAUGCAAGUCGAGCGAACGUCGGUUGUGUAGCAAUACAUGGCUGGCGGAAGCGGCGAAAGGGAGAGUAACGCGUAGUUACGUGCCCCGAGGCCCGGAAUAGCCACGGGAAACUGUGGGUAAUGCCGGAUGUUGUCUUCGGACUAAAGGUGUGAUUCCACCUUGGGAGCGGACUGCGUUGUACUAGCUAGUUGGUAGGGUAAUGGCCUACCAAGGCGAUGAUGCAUAGCGGGUGUGAGAGCAUGACCCGUCUCACUGGGACUGAGACACUGCCCAGACACCUACGGGUGGCUGCAGUCGAGAAUCUUCGGCAAUGGGCGAAAGCCUGACCGAGCGACGCCGCGUGUGGGAUGAAGGCCUUCGGGUUGUAAACCACUGUCGUAGAGGAGGAAGGCUCCGUGAAGAACGGGGUUUGACCUAUUCUAGGAGGAAGGACGGGCUAAGUUCGUGCCAGCAGCCGCGGUAAUAC